rnacentral:rRNA from 1 species
UACGGAGGGUGCAAGCGUUAUCCGGAUUCACUGGGUUUAAAGGGUGCGUAGGAGGGCAGGUAAGUCAGUGGUGAAAUCUCCGAGCUUAACUUGGAAACUGCCGUUGUUACUAUCUGUCUUGAAUAUUGUGGAGGUGAGCGGAAUAUGUCAUGUAGCGGUGAAAUGCUUAGAUAUGACAUAGAACACCAAUUGCGAAGGCAGCUCGCUACACAUAUAUUGACUCUGAGGCACGAAAGCGUGGGGAUCAAACAGG